rnacentral:rRNA from 1 species
AACGCUGGCGGCGCGCUUAACACAUGCAAGUCGAGCGAGAACCAUGGCUUCGGCCAUGGGGACAGCGGCGAACGGGUGAGUAACACGUGGGUAAUCAACCCUCGACACUGGGAUAGCCCGGGGAAACCCGGAUUAAUACCGGAUACCCCAUCUGGCCUUCGGGCCGGCUGGAAAAGGUAGCUUUGGCCUCCGGUCGAGGACGAGCCCGCGGCGGAUUAGCUGGUUGGCGGGGUAAAAGCCCACCAAGGCGACGAUCCGUAGCUGGUCUGAGAGGACGAUCAGCCACACUGGGACUGAGACACGGCCCAGACUCCUACGGGAGGCAGCAGUGGGGAAUCUUGCGCAAUGGGCGAAAGCCUGACGCAGCGACGCCGCGUGAGGGAAGAAGGCCUUCGGGUUGUAAACCUCUUUCAGGAGGGACGAAGCCACUCGGGUUAAUAGCCCAGAGGGUGACGGUACCUCCAGAAGAAGCCCCGGCUAACUACGUGCCAGCAGCCGCCGUAACAC